rnacentral:rRNA from 1 species
GAUGAACGCUAGCGGCAGGCCUAACACAUGCAAGUCGAGGGGCAUCGCGGGUAGCAAUACCUGGCGGCGACCGGCGCACGGGUGAGUAACACGUAUGCAACCUGCCCCGAACCGGGGGAUAACCCGAAGAAAUUCGGACUAAUACCCCAUAGCGCGUAGCGGUGGCAUCACCACUACGCUAAAGAUUUAUCAGUUCGGGAUGGGCAUGCGCCCUAUUAGCUAGUUGGCGGGGUAACGGCCCACCAAGGCAGCGAUAGGUAGGGGUUCUGAGAGGAAGGUCCCCCACACUAGUACUGAGAAUCGGACCAGACUCCUACGGGAGGCAGCAGUGAUGAAUAUUGGUCAAUGGGCGGAAGCCUGAACCAGCCAUGCCGCGUGCAGGACUACGGCCCUACGGGUUGUAAACUGUUUUUAUGCUGGAGCAAACCCCUCCUCGCGAGGAUGGUUGAGAGUACCGCACGAAUAAGGAUCGGCUAACUCCGUGGCAGCAGCCGCGGUAA